rnacentral:sRNA from 1 species
UUUUAGCCCUGAUGGUAGCGGCAUCCUUUUUAUUUUUUCUUUAAAAAUAAAAAGAUACAGCGGACAGCAGGAAAUAGC